GGUCGCGGCCGGAGUGGGCGGCUGCCCGGGCGCAGGUCCGCAAGCAGCGUGGGGCUCCCAGGGAGGCUUCGCUCUUUCGUGACUGCGAGGAAGCAGCUGUGCAGAUCUUUGUUCUUUUGAGACAAAGACCCUGAACUUGGGUCCUCGCUUUGUUCGGGUACCAGGGCUCGUUUAUGGAAGGCGUGUGCUGAGGGAGAGGGUUUAACACGUGAGGCGGCUGUUUCAAAGGGCUGUGAUUCGAAUCACACAGCACCCAAGGUUUCAGGCCUUGGUCGGAAACUAGCUGUGAAUGAUCAUGUGCUGAAAUUUCACGAAGAUCUAAUGCCACAGCUAUCUUGCUACA